CAGCCGCCGCGGGAAUACGAAGGGGGCUAGCGUUGUUCGGAAUUACUGGGCGUAAAGCGCGUGUAGGCGGGUCCUUAAGUCAGGGGCGAAAUGCCAAGGCUCAACCUUGGAACUGCCUUUGAUACUGGGGAUCUUGAGUCCGGGAGAGGUGAGUGGAACUGCGAGUGUAGAGGUGAAAUUCGUAGAUAUUCGCAAGAACACCAGUGGCGAAGGCGGCUCACUGGCCCGGAACUGACGCUGAGACGCGAAAGCGUGGGGAGCAAACAGGAUUAGAUACCCGUGUAGUCCCUGUCUCUUAUAC
rnacentral:rRNA from 1 species